CAACCUCAACUCAUAUGGGACUACCCCCUGAAUUUAAGCAUAUUAAUUAGGGGAGGAAAAGAAACUAACAAGGAUUUUCUUAGUAGCGGCGAGCGAAAAGAAAUCAGUUCAGCACUAAGUCACUUUGUCUAUAUGGCAAAUGUGAGAUGCAGUGUAUGGAGCGUCAAUAUUCUAGUAUGAGAAAUUAACGAUUUAAGUCCUUCUUAAAUGAGGCCAUUUACCCAUAGAGGGUGCCAGGCCCGUAUAACGUUAAUGAUUACUAGAUGAUGUUUCCAAAGAGUCGUGUUGCUUGAUAGUGCAGCACUAAGUGGGUGGUAAACUCCAUCUAAAACUAAAUAUAACCAUGAGACCGAUAGUAAACAAGUACCGUGAGGGAAAGUUGAAAAGAACUCUGAAUAGAGAGUUAAAUAGUACGUGAAACUGCUUAGAGGUUAAGCCCGAUGAACCUGAAUAUCCGUUAUGGAAAAUCAUCAUUAAAGUUAUAAUAUUUAAACAUAUUAUACAAAUAAUGUGCAUUUUUUCCCAUAUAAGACAUUGUAAUCUAUUAACAUAUUAAAUUUAUCAUAAAAUAUGGCUUAUAGUUUAUUCAAAUUUAUAUGGCUUGAUUUUAACCUUAAAAUUAAUUGGUCUUAAUUUGGAUAAAGUGGUGAAAGAACAAUUAAGAAUUAAAUGGCCGUAAAUUUUUUCGGAAUUAUAAAAAUGGCAUAAUUUAUCAAUGGAUUUUUUGUGUUUUUUAAAACCCCUUUGUUUAAAUUAAAAAGGGGAAAAAAAUUCAGGAACCCUUUGGGGACACCUUUUUGGAAACACGGACCCAGGGAGUUAAAAAAAUUGGGGAAA
rnacentral:ncRNA from 1 species